rnacentral:tRNA from 2 species
UGGGGGAUCGUCUAGUGGUAGGACGACAGACUCUGGAUCUGUCUACCGAGGUUCGAAUCCUCGUCCCCCAGCCA